GAUGAACGCUAGCUGGAGGCUUAAUACAUGCAAGUCGAGCGGGAUUGGGUAGCAAUACCCAUGAGAGCGGCGCACGGGUGAGUAACGCGUACACGACCUACCUCUAACAGGGGGAUAGCCCUGGGAAACUGGGAUUAAUACCGCAUAUUAUUCUGAAUAAUAAAGGUUUGGAAUGAGAGCUGAGGCGGUUAGAGAUGGGUGUGCGUCUGAUUAGCUAGUUGGUAGGGUAACGGCCUACCAAGGCGAUGAUCAGUAGGGGGCGUGAGAGCGUGGUCCCCCACACGGGUACUGAGACACGGACCCGACUCCUACGGGAGGCAGCAGUAAGGAAUAUUGGUCAAUGGGCGAAAGCCUGAACCAGCCAUCCAGCGUGCAGGAAGAAGGCCCUAUGGGUUGUAAACUGCUUUUAUCAGGGAAGAAACCUCUGGAUUUACUCCGGAGCUGACGGUACCUGAAGAAUAAGCACCGGCUAACUCCGUGCCAGCAGCCGCAGUAACAC
rnacentral:rRNA from 1 species